rnacentral:rRNA from 1 species
UUGAUAGGCUGGGUGUGGAAGUGCAGUAAUGCAUUAAGCUAACCAGUACUAAUUGCCCGUACGGCUUGUCCCU